AUUGAACGCUGGCGGCAGGCCUAACACAUGCAAGUCGAGCGAGCCGCGGACGGGUUAGUAAUGUAUCUGCAUCUGCCUGAUGGAUAGGGUUAACUACUGGGAACUGUAGCCACUACCGCCUACCAUCAGCUAUGCCCAGAUGGGAUUAGCUAGUAGGUGGGGUAAUGGCUAACCUAGGCGACGAUCCCUAGCUGGUCUGAGAGGAUGACCAGCCACACUGGAACUGAGACACGGUCCAGACUCCUACGGGAGGCAGCAGUGGGGAAUAUUGGACAAUGGGCGAAAGCCUGAUGCAGCCAUGCCGCGUGUGUGAAGAAGGCCUUCGGGUUGUAAAGCACUUUAAGCGAGGAGGCGUUACUCACAGAAGAAGCACCGGCUAACUCCGUGCCAGCAGCCGCGGUAAUAC
rnacentral:rRNA from 1 species